ACUGUAUCUUACUAACCCAGACUCCGUCCCAAGUCCUUCCCAAACUCUUGACCACAGGGGAAAGGUCAGGGCUGGAAGACAGCGACUACAUCUCAUGGGGUUAUAUGCUGCAGCAUCCACUCUGGAAACAACUGCCAGUGGUUGCCCAGAAGAAGGCACGCCCAUCUGCAGACUGCACUGUAAACACAGCCUUCGUGAUCCUGAGGAUGGGACACAAUGGGGGGCAAUGACACACCCCUUCAUUACAGGACAUCUGAGACCUUCUUCAGUUUGUUGAUUUUUUUUUCCAGAAGAGGAAACCAAGGUGGCACGUGCCUUUAAUCCCAGCA
ensembl:lincRNA Gm43351 predicted gene 43351